rnacentral:pre_miRNA from 1 species
AGCUUUUCGAGUCAAUGCUGAGAUUUCGUCAGACCCCAACUCAUUAGGGCCGAUCAGACUUGUAAGAUAAGUGAAGUU